CAAGGAUGCCCAUUAUCACUGUGUUGCUGAGGCCAGCACAGGAAAUGACAUAUCUGAGGUGAAGCUUCACCUUGCUGUUGGAGAUGAAGAGACUAAUCCAUCCAGAGAUUUGAACCAGUGGAGGGGUGCGCUCACAAAUCAUGAGCAACUGCUUAAAAGAUGGGAACAGGCAUGGGAACGCUGUGAUGGCCAAGGACCUCUCUGAGGAUGUCAUGACCUUCAAGUAUCAGAUAAUCAGAUCAGAUAAGAAUCAG